ACUCCUACGGGAGGCAGCAGUAGGGAAUCUUCCACAAUGGGCGCAAGCCUGAUGGAGCAACACCGCGUGAGUGAAGAAGGGCUUCGGCUCGUAAAGCUCUGUUGUUAAAGAAGAACACGUAUGAGAGUAACUGUUCAUACGUUGACGGUAUUUAACCAGAAAGUCACGGCUAACUACGUGCCAGCAGCCGCGGUAAUACGUAGGUGGCAAGCGUUAUCCGGAUUUAUUGGGCGUAAAGAGAGUGCAGGCGGUUUUCUAAGUCUGAUGUGAAAGCCUUCGGCUUAACCGGAGAAGUGCAUCGGAAACUGGAUAACUUGAGUGCAGAAGAGGUAGUGGAACUCCAUGUGUAGCGGUGGAAUGCGUAGAUAUAUGGAAGAACACCGAGUGGCGAAGGCGGUCUACCGUGGUCUGCAACUGACGCUGAGACUCGAAAGCA
rnacentral:rRNA from 1 species